AAACGACUCUCGGCAACGGAUAUCUCGGCUCACGCAUCGAUGAAGAACGUAGCAAAAUGCGAUACUUGGUGUGAAUUGCAGAAUCCCGUGAACCAUCGAGUUUUUGAACGCAAGUUGCGCCCGAGGCCAUCCGGUCGAGGGCACGUCUGCCUGGGCGUCACGCAUCAC
rnacentral:rRNA from 1 species